UAAUUGAAGAGUUUGAUCAUGGCUCAGAUUGAACGCUGGCGGCAGGCCUAACACAUGCAAGUCGAGCGGUAACAGGGGAAGCUUGCUUCCCGCUGACGAGCGGCGGACGGGUGAGUAAUGUAUGGGGAUCUGCCCGAUAGAGGGGGAUAACUACUGGAAACGGUAGCUAAUACCGCAUAAUCUC
rnacentral:rRNA from 1 species